UGUAUUUCUGGCACCGCAGUGCUCCUGACGCAGGCCGUGAGCAAUGCACUGGAACUCUGCUGCAGCAGCUGAUGUGGCAACGGCCAGUGACAGUAUAAACACUGUCUGCAUUGACACCCUGGGGGAGAGGCUUAACAAUGUGACUUGUGAAGAAUGCAAUUUGUGGGCCUCUGCUGCAUUGCCUCGAGGGAAACUUUAUCCGGGACUGCGGCCGGUCACUACAGGGGCGUAGUGGUGACACGCGUGCCGUUGGGCACUUUAGCAACAUGAAUCUCACUGGACUGGCAUCUAACUGGAGCUUGAAGUUUCACUGCAUUCUGUAUGGCCUGACAUGUAUGUAUUCAUUUCAAAUACAAUAUGGGUUGCUUGCCUCACUUUUCAAUGGUUGAAACCGCAAUACCACCUGAAAAACCUACACCAUCACUAUUUUCAUUGUAAUUAAGAGAUACUAUUUUGUGUUGUUUUAUAUUUUCCAUAAAUAUAUUUGUGUGUGUGUGUGAGUUUGUGUGUUUUUAUCGUCUUUGUGAGUACAAACAUUCUGUAAACGUUUUACUUUUGCUUAGUCAUGCCUCAUCGAUUAAAAGAAGUUCAGCCAAUGUAAGCCCCUCACAUUUACGAGGGAUUCCUGGAUUACCUCCGAAACAGAAAAGUGGGUCGAGGCCUCAUCGGAACCCAGCAGAAACCGUGAGAGCAGAGGCAGGGACUGCAAGCACAGGUCGUCAUGGCAACAUAGACAAAUGACUUUUUCUUUCCCCAGUGACCACAGCAGCAAGUCAUCUUGCACAAUUCCAUUACAGCAUGAGAACAGCUUGGGAAAAACUGAGAACUGGAAAACAUUUGGGUAGCACUGAAGAAGGAACCAGAUUCUAUUUUGACUUGCUGCUCAGUUACAGUACAGUAGGGCCUAAGGUUCUUGGGGAAAAAGAGAGUCUGUUUUGAUAUGACGUCCACUCCUCCUCAUUUCAGUUCUAAAGAAUCCUCAAUGUAUUCACAUGCAUGAUGGUUUUGGCUCUGAUUUCUUAAUGUCAGCCAUCCAGAAUUUCUUUUAACAGAAGCACCCAAGGCCGACGUGGAGCUGACAUGACCACAGCCUUCUCUCCUCCCAUUUCCAAAGAGGCGACUGCGAGUGACGUUCGACAUGGAACGCAUAUGGUUUGCAUUAUUAAAAAAGCACUUCACGAAGCCCUCAUAAAAAACACUUUUUUGUGAGAUUUUUGGCAAACUUAGAUUCAGACACAUGUACGUACGUAUAGACGCAGACACACAUGAGCCCACAAACUUGGUGGCGUGCUGUUGCACUCGAAGAUAAGACAGUUACUUUUUUCUUUUCUUCCCUUCUGAAUUGACACAUUCUCAUCUCUGUUGCAUGUGGAUUCCUGUCUCUGUUGCACAUGGACUUCCACAGUCUUAAUCUUUUUGCUGCGGUUGCUGAUCUGUAUUGUUUAAUGGGAUCUGUGUGAGCCAAACCAAGACAAAUUCCUUGUUUGUGCAACUUACUUGGGCAAUAAAUCUAAUUCUGAUCUGA